rnacentral:rRNA from 1 species
GGUAAAUUCUGCCCUAUGGGUUUCUAAAUGGCUGCAGUAUUUUGACUGUGCAAAGGUAGCAUAGUAAUUAGUUUCUUAAUUAGAAGCUGGUAUGAAUGGAUUAAUGAGAAAGAUAUUUUAUUAAUUUCAUUUUUAUAAAUUAAAUUUUAAGUAAAAAUGCUUAAUUAAUUUCUAGGGACGAUAAGACCCUAUAGAACUUUAUAUAAUAUCAUAUAUUAAUAUAUUUUUAUAAUAAAUAUUAUAUUAAUAUUUAUUAUAAUUUGCUGGGGUGGUAGAUAAAUUUUAACUUUAUAUUUAAAUUUCAAUAAUUAAUGUAAAUAAUGAUCCUUAUGGAAUUUAAGAUUUAGUUACCUUAGGGAUAACAGCGCAAUUUAAGUGGGGAGUUCAUAUCUAUAUUUUAUUUUGCGACCUCGAUGUUGAAUUAAGGAAAGAUUAAGAAGUAGAGUUCUUGUAUCUAAGUCUGUUCGACUU